CGUGGGCUGGGGUGGAGAGAGCGACGGAGGGAGGGAGGAGAUGCGCUCCGAGAGGCAGUAGGGGCGGGUGACGCAGGGCCUCGAGGCCAAAAUAGGAACACUAGCUUUUAUUCUGCGUAGUGCGCAUGCAUUUCAAACUAAUGCGUUCACAAGUCUGUGUAAGAGACUGUGGAGCUUAGAAGAAGGAAAGAUCACUUCCGGCUUAGGGGGGCACUGAUGAGAGGAGCAGGAGAUGCGAGAAGAGCAUGGAGGAGCCAGGAGGGGAGACAGCUUUCGGAGAGGUGAAGGCCGGGCCUCCCUCAGCCCCUGAAGCAGGGGCGGCCCAGGAGGAGAGGCUUCCUGAGCGCCUGGCCAGUCCACCACAUGCUUCAGGAACAGGAGGAGGUGCAGAUGAAUCUUGUUCUUUGCCUGCCCAGUGGUCAUCCAGGCUCCAGCACGUCUGCUCCACUGUGAUAGAGGCGGAAGGAGCAGGUCGGAACAAACCCCAUGGCCCCAGCAGAUGGCCCGGCAUGAGCAGCUACUUUUUCGACCAGGAGCCAAGAAUAUUCAGUUCACACCUGGUCUGUGCUGGCUUUAAAACUCCAGGGUGCCAUCUCAUUGACGGAGACCACGUAUGCGGCCUCAGAGAGCAGUGCUCAGUCUGGGGAGUCCGUUUCUGGAAGGCACGGUCUGCUCAACAGAUGGAAGCAUGCUUUCUA
rnacentral:lncRNA from 1 species